AAUAAAACUCAUCUACCUAGGACUCAAAUCUAGUCCAAAAUAAGUUGGCCCCUCAAGGCCCAAAAUUCUUAGACCUCAAGAUCCAAAAGACUGAUAGCCUUUCAUCUUGGGACCCAAACUAGUCCCAGAAACCCCAUGAGCACCUCAUGGACUUUGGAUCUUGAGCUUAUCCUUGGUCUCCUGAGCCUUGAGAGAACCACAUGAGGUCCAACAAUCUCCACCUUGGUGCCCCA
rnacentral:lncRNA from 1 species